UCUACGGGUGGCAGCAGUGAGGAAUAUUGGUCAAUGGGCGAGAGCCUGAACCAGCCAAGUCGCGUGAAGGAUGACGGCCCUACGGGUUGUAAACUUCUUUUGUCAGGGAGCAAUUGAGUCCACGUGUGGUCUUAGCGUGAGUACCUGAAGAAAAAGCAUCGGCUAACUCGGUGCCAGCAGCGGCGGUAAUACGGAGGAGGCGAGCGUUAUCCGGAUUUAUUGGGGUUUACGGGUGCGUAGGCGGAAUAUCAAGUCAGCGGUAAAAAUUCGGGGCUCAACCCCGUCGUGCCGUUGAAUCUGAUGUUCUUGAGUGGGCGAGAGGUAUGCGGAAUGCGUAGUGUAGCGGUGAAAUGCAUAGAUAUCACGCAGAACUCCGGUUGCGAAGGCAGCAUGCCGGCGCCCAACUGACGCUGAAGCACGAAAGCGUGGGUAUCGAACAGGAUUAGAUACCCUUGUAGUC
rnacentral:rRNA from 1 species